rnacentral:rRNA from 1 species
UACGUAGGGACCAAGCGUUGUCCGGAAUCAUUGGGCGUAAAGCGCGUGUAGGCGGUUCGGUAAGUCCGCUGUGAAAGUCGGGGGCUCAACCCUCGAAUGCCGGUGGAUACUGUCGAACUAGAGUGCGGAAGAGGCGAGUGGAAUUCCUGGUGUAGCGGUGAAAUGCGCAGAUAUCAGGAGGAACACCAAUUGCGAAGGCAGCUCGCUGGGACGUAACUGACGCUGAGACGCGAAAGCGUGGGGAGCAAACAGG